AGCAGAGCAAACCAUCAAAAGUUGACAAGAGCUAGGCAGAGUGCUUCUUCUACAAGAAGCUGGGUCAUUGGAAAAAGAAUUGUCCUACUUAUAUAGCUACCCUUGACCCAAACAGACUUAAGAAUAAGAUAAAGAAGUAAUCAAUUACUUCAUAAGGUACCUAUAUGAUAACUCCUUGUAAUUUUUCUGUUUGUGAUACUACUA
rnacentral:lncRNA from 1 species